rnacentral:lncRNA from 1 species
CCUGUCCUAUCAACGGAGGGUGGACUAUAUAAGAAUCAACGAAGUUGUCACUAUCGCGAACUACCACACGACCCAACCAAUAGGAUACAUUUGCAAAUAAAUAAAAUCUAAGCACCACGCUCACACGUGACCUAUCACCUAACUCCCUCGCGUCAAGAGCUAAGCGCUUUGCAAACUUAUACAUAAACUCAUUUUUGUUGGGUAUUCUUAACAUC